CUUUAUUAAGGGCAUAACAAGUAUUACACAAACUUUUUUAGGAAAGUAGAUGCUCAACCAAACAUAAGUUGCUUUCCUAUGAUCAAAUAAACAUGCAAAAGCCACUUUCCUAUGCUUCAUAUUUUCAGGCAUUAGCUUCCUAGAAAAAUAUUUCGGUGAGAGAAAAUUCUUCCUGUGAACCAAACAAGUCCUUAGAUCUAGGCUAACAAAAUGGAAGACUCUCUCUCUAAAAGCUCCUUGAACUUUGUAAGAUUUUGACACCAAUCCAUAUGGGCAAUGCCAUCAUCUAUGUUGUAGACAUCUCGUCAUUUAAGAUCUCUCUUUUCUCUAGAUACCUAAGUCCACUCUAUAUUUUUUUAAUGAAAGCGCUCUUUUGUCCA
rnacentral:lncRNA from 1 species